GUGGGGAAUAUUGGACAAUGGGCGAAAGCCUGAUCCAGCCAUGCCGCGUGUGUGAAGAAGGUCUUCGGAUUGUAAAGCACUUUAAGUUGGGAGGAAGGGCAGUAAGUUAAUACCUUGCUGUUUUGACGUUACCGACAGAAUAAGCACCGGCUAACUUCGUGCCAGCAGCCGCGGUAAUACGAAGGGUGCAAGCGUUAAUCGGAAUUACUGGGCGUAAAGCGCGCGUAGGUGGUUUUGUAAGUUGGAGGUGAAAUCCCCAGGCUCAACCUGGGAACUGCCUCCAAAACUGCAUGACUAGAGUACGGUAGAGGGUAGUGGAAUUUCCUGUGUAGCGGUGAAAUGCGUAGAUAUAGGAAGGAACACCAGUGGCGAAGGCGACCACCUGGACUGAUACUGACACUGAGGUGCGAAAGCGUGGGGAGCAAACAGGAUUAGAUACCCGUGUAGUCC
rnacentral:rRNA from 1 species